rnacentral:rRNA from 1 species
CACGUAGGGCGCAAGCGUUGUCCGGAAUUAUUGGGCGUAAAGAGCUCGUAGGCGGUCUGUUGCGUCCGCUGUGAAAACCCGAGGCUCAACCUCGGGCCUGCAGUGGGUACGGGCAGACUAGAGUGCGGUAGGGGAGAUUGGAAUUCCUGGUGUAGCGGUGGAAUGCGCAGAUAUCAGGAGGAACACCAAUGGCGAAGGCAGAUCUCUGGGCCGUAACUGACGCUGAGGCACGAAAGCGUGGGGAGCAAACAGG